UACGUAGGGUGCAAGCGUUAAUCGGAAUUACUGGGCGUAAAGCGUGCGCAGGCGGUUAUGUAAGACAGGUGUGAAAUCCCAGGGCUUAACCCUGGAACUGCAUUUGUGACUGCAUAGCUAGAGUACGGUAGAGGGGGAUGGAAUUCCGCGUGUAGCAGUGAAAUGCGUAGAUAUGCGGAGGAACACCGAUGGCGAAGGCAAUCCCCUGGACCUGUACUGACGCUCAUGCACGAAAGCGUGGGGAGCAAACAGG
rnacentral:rRNA from 1 species